UCCUAAGUGCUAGACUGUGAUUAGGGUGGAGGUCCUGCAGUCACUGGGGUCUCAUAAGUCAUGAGAGUCAUGCUGCUCUCUCAAACCUACAUAGCUACAAGUAGUGGGUAUGUGCCUUGCACACGCCACUUAACCUCUCCCAGCCUUGGAGGUCUCUUCCGCCUAAAGUAGGAAAUCUUUUCUUGGCACUAAAAGAAAGACACAAUGGCUGGGCACGGUGGCUCAUGCCUGUAAUCCCAGCACUUUGGGAGGCCAAGGCAGGUGGAUCACGAAGUCAGGAGUUCAAGACCAGCGAGACUCUGUCUCAAAGAAAAAAAAAAAAGGAAAAUACUAUUUAUUACCAAGACUAUGAGGACAACACCUUGUGGCCAGGAAAGGUGCAAUCCAUCAUUGUUUUCUAGUUGGUUGUUAAGAUUUCUGUGAUGAAUACAACUCAACAUCAGAUCUCUGCCAUAUUGUGUGUCAGGCACACAGGGCAAGAAAUUGAAGCUGCCAGCCAACAGCCAGAGAGAAACCAAGGCCUGCCAACAACUAGCUACCUUAGCAAGAAAAUCCAAGAAAAUCAAUUUGCAUCUAAAAGCGCCUUCACGGAGUUGGCCUGGUUUUGUGGCAGGCAUCCCAGCUUGCUUAGAGAAGGAGAAGUUGAAGUCGGCCUCACAGAGGAUUGUUUGGUCCCAGCUGAAUAACCUGCUGGCAUCCACUGUGAGCAGAGUGAUCUCUUCUUGAAAAAGACAGAGCUGCAGUCAUCUUCGGUCUCAGGUUCUAUAAAAACCCAGCACAGCCUUGGCAGGCCUCCUGGAAUGACUUCUUGUUUCCUGAGGACCCAUUGAUUUAACAAACUAACAAACGUAAAUAACAGAAGCUAUGAAAGAAACAUUUGCAGUAAGCAUUCUGAAGUUAUGAAGCAACAAAAGUUUACUAGACCACAAAAAUUUCUCUAACACCAUCCAUCAUGUAGAAUAUACAAUUUAGCAUGAUAACAGGGAAAGUUACUAAUUGUUAUUAAUUGAGGUCUACAGUGCAUGUACAGGUUUUUAAACAUCAACAGUCAAAACUGCUGGGUUACCACAAUUUAUUUCUGGGUCCAAACCAAAAAAGUCUGUUUAUUUCUUAGGUGCACACUAAAUGUGGCCACUGUGUUGGAGAGAAAAUGUGGAAUGAACAUUGUAUGCUUACAACAUUGAGUGUUGGAAUCAUCCAUAAUCUCCACUUCUAAUUUAGCUUGCUAGUGACCUUCUCUCAAGGUGCUAUAGAUUCUGGGCAUCUUCCCCAGAAUGCUUUCAGGCUGAUGAGGAUGUGGGUGCAUGGGUUUAAGGGCAGAACACCUAGCAAACCACUUGCUUUACAGUUCAAGUAAGGAAAAAAGGGAGGAGUUCAAAGAAGGUUAAAUCUCCCGCUUCACCAGUGGUGUCCUUUCCUUCUUUCUAGGCAUCAGACCUUCUUCUCUAGAACUUUCUUCUGCCCCAUGUGGUGGUCACUGCCCAGCUCAAGAGAUAGUCCUGGAGAGGACACAGAGGCAACAAGGUCCAGAGACUUGCCUCAGGGUCACCUCAGGGGCCCUUCCAAUCAUGCUUCCCCCAGUCCCCGAAGCAUCUUCCAGCAGCCAACAUGUUGGUGAAUGGGGUCCUAAACCCUGCACUGCCCAGGAACUGUGCUGUGGAGUCUGGCCACGUUCCCUUAUUGGGGCAGGCAUGAGGCAGUGACUAAAGUGUCCUAAAGCUCCCAGUGAAGGCUCUGAGAUGGCUGGACCGCCCACUGCAUCCUUGGCCCUACAGAAAGAGGGCUCCAUGGAGCAUGCACAGAAGCAGCAAGGGGCAGUGUGACACUGGGAGAGGUACUAAGGAGGGGGCGGCCUUCUGAUCCACGCAAGGAUUCUUAAGGACCUCCUGGCUCAAAACAAUCACUUCCUCUCUUGCUGUGGUUCGUGGACAAUGGAGUCCCAAAGGGAGGCCUUUCCUUGCAACCUCAAAGGGAGGAAAGCCUGCUUUCACAGCUGGCAGGGCCUGCGGACAGCCAGCCAGCUACCUGCACCAACUACCGUCCACCUGUCUCCCGUCACAUCCCCCCCUCUACCCCCGAGUGGCUGGUCUGCGGCGCUUCGGACGUGCUCCUUGCCUUGCAUUCACUCUCCCUCCCGCGCAUUCAGUGGAUGUGUCCCACGUGGAGAAGGCGAAGUUGGGAAGGGGCAGCCCUCGCGAAGGGCCACUUGGUCUGGGCACUUAUUCACUGGGGUGGAAUGGGAUGGCAGCGGAGCAGGGGACAGCCUAGGCUAAAAGGCCGCCCGGGGGCAGCCCCUCCAGGUAACCCGUCCCGCGGCCCGCCAGCAUGGAGCACCA
rnacentral:lncRNA from 1 species